GCUUUUGUGGUGUAAUGGUAACACACUUGGCUUGUAUUCGAGAGGUCUAAGUUCGAGUCCCGGCGAGGCCA
rnacentral:tRNA from 1 species